rnacentral:rRNA from 1 species
GAUGAACGCUGGCGGCGUGCCUAAUACAUGCAAGUCGAGCGAAUGGAUUAAGAGCUUGCUCUUAUGAAGUUAGCGGCGGACGGGUGAGUAACACGUGGGUAACCUGCCCAUAAGACUGGGAUAACUCCGGGAAACCGGGGCUAAUACCGGAUAACAUUUUGAACCGGAUGGUUCGAAAUUGAAAGGCGGCUUCGGCUGUCACUUAUGGAUGGACCCGCAUCGCAUUAGCUAGUUGGUGAGGUAACGGCUGACCAAGGCAACGAUGCGUAGCCGACCUGAGAGGGUGACCGGCCACACUGGGACUGAGACACGGCCCAGACUCCUACGGGAGGCAGCAGUAGGGAAUCUUCCGCAAUGGACGAAAGUCUGACGGAGCAACGCCGCGUGAGUGAUGAAGGCUUUCGGGUCGUAAAACUCUGUUGUUAGGGAAGAACAAGUGCUAGUUGAAUAAGCUGGCACCUUGACGGUACCUAACCAGAAAGCCACGGCUAACUACGUGCCAGCCGCCGCCGUAA